rnacentral:rRNA from 1 species
UACGUAGGGGGCUAGCGUUGUCCGGAUUUAUUGGGCGUAAAGAGCGCGCAGGCGGUCGUGCAAGUCGCGUGUGAAAGCCCCCGGCUCAACUGGGGAGGGUCACGCGAUACUGCUCGACUCGAAGGCAGGAGAGGGAAGUGGAAUUCCCGGUGUAGUGGUGAAAUGCGUAGAUAUCGGGAGGAACACCAGUGGCGAAGCCGACUUCCUGGUCUGUUCUUGACGCUGAGGCGCGAAAGCUAGGGUAGCAAACGGG